rnacentral:rRNA from 1 species
UACGAAGGGGGCUAGCGUUGUUCGGAAUCACUGGGCGUAAAGAGCGUGUAGGCGGCCAGGUAGGUCUGCUGUGAAAACUCGAGGCUUAACCUCGAGCUGUCGGCGGAAACCAUCUGGCUAGAGUCCGGAAGAGGAGAAUGGAAUUCCCGGUGUAGCGGUGAAAUGCGCAGAUAUCGGGAAGAACACCCGUGGCGAAGGCGGUUCUCUGGGACGGUACUGACGCUGAGACGCGAAAGCGUGGGGAGCGAACAGG